rnacentral:rRNA from 1 species
GACGAACGCUGGCGGCGUGCUUAACACAUGCAAGUCGAACGGAAAGGCCCUGCGUUUGUGGGGUGCUCGUGUGGCGCACGGGUGAGUAACACGUGAGUAACCUGCCCUUGACUUUCGGAUAACUUCAGGAAACUCGGGCUAAUACCGGAUAGAAGCUCCUGCUGCAUGGUGGGGGUUGGAAAGUUUCGGCGGUUGGGGAUGGACUCGCGGGUUAUCAGCUUGUUGGUGGGGUAGUGGCUUACCAAGGCUUUGACGGGUAGCCGGCCUGAGAGGGUGAACGGCCACAUUGGGACUGAGAGACGGACCAGACGCCAACGGGAGGCAGUAGUGGGGAAUAUGGCGCAAUGGGCGGAAGUCUGAUGCAGCAACGCCGGGUGCGGGAUGACGGCCUUCGGGUUGUAAACCGAUUUCGCCUGUGACGAAGCGUGAGUGACGGUAAUGGGUAAAGAAGCACCGGCUAACUACGUG